rnacentral:rRNA from 1 species
CACGUAGUUAGCCGGAGCUUAUAAAUGGUACCGUCAUUAAUUCUUCCCAUUCUUUCGAAGUUUACAUACCGAAAUACUUCAUCCUUCACGCGGCGUUGCUGGGUCAGGCUUUCGCCCAUUGCCCAAAAUUCCCGACUGCUGCCUCCCGUAGGAGUCUGACCCGUUAUUCAGUGUCAGUGUGUCCGACCGUCCUCUUAGACCGGAUACAGAUCGUAGCCUUGGUAAGCCAUUACCUUACCAACUAGCUAAUCUGCCGCAAGCUCCUCUUCAAGCGAAUUGCUCCUUUAACAACUGUCAUCUUGUGAUGCCGCUGCAUUAUGCGGUAUUAGCGUCCGUUUCCGAACGUUAUUCCCCACUCGAAGGUAGAUUACUUACGUGUUACUCACCCGUGCGCCACUUUAUACACUCCCCGAAGGGAGCUUUAAUCGUUCGACUUGCAUGUCUGAGGCACGCCGCCAGCGUUGAUUCUGAGCCAGGAUCAAACUCU